rnacentral:rRNA from 1 species
GAUAGGUCAUCUCAUCUGGAAGGAGAGAUGGCUUAAAGGGGUGCGCGAGCUUCUUUUGUGCACCUGCUCUAGGAUGGGACUGCGGCCGAUCAGGCUGUUGGUGGGGUAAUGGCCCACCAAACCUGUAACCGGUACGGGCCUUGAGAGAGGGGGCCCGGAGAUGGACACUGAGAGAAGGGUCCAGGUCCUACGGGGCGCAGCAGGCGCGAAACCUUCGCAAUGCGCGAAAGCGUGACGAGGUUAAUCCGAGUGGUUCCCGCUGAGGGAAUCUUUUGUUGGCUCUAAAAUGGCCAGUGAAUAAGGGGAGGGCAAGUCUGGUGUCAGCCGCCGCGGUAAUACCAGCUCCUCGAGUGGUCGGGGCGAUUAUUGGGCCUAAAGCAUCCGUAGCCUGUUCUGUAGGUCUUCUGUUAAAUCCAACGGCUUAACCGUUGGUCUGCAGAAGAUACCGCAGGACUAGGGAGGCGGGAGAGGUGACGGUACCUCCACGUGUAGGGGUAAAUCCUUUGAUCCGAGGAAGACCACCAGUGGCGAGCGUCCACCAGAACGCCGCCUCGACGGUGGAGGGAUGAAAGCUGGGGGAGCGACCGGAUAAGAAUACCG